AUGAACGCUGGCGGCGUGCUUAACACAUGCAAGUCGAACGAAGCACUUUUACAGAUUUCUUCGGAAUGAAGUUUUAGUGACUGAGUGGCGGACGGGUGAGUAACGCGUGGGUAACCUGCCUCACACAGGGGGAUAACAGUUGGAAACGGCUGCUAAUACCGCAUAAGCGCACAGUACCGCAUGGUACGGUGUGAAAAACUCCGGUGGUGUGAGAUGGACCCGCGUCUGAUUAGCUAGUUGGCAGGGCAACGGCCUACCAAGGCGACGAUCAGUAGCCGACCUGAGAGGGUGACCGGCCACAUUGGGACUGAGACACGGCCCAAACUCCUACGGGAGGCAGCAGUGGGGAAUAUUGCACAAUGGGGGAAACCCUGAUGCAGCGACGCCGCGUGAGCGAAGAAGUAUUUCGGUAUGUAAAGCUCUAUCAGCAGGGAAGAAGAAAUGACGGUACCUGACUAAGAAGCACCGGCUAAAUACGUGCCAGCAGCCGCGGUAAUACGUAUGGUGCAAGCGUUAUCCGGAUUUACUGGGUGUAAAGGGAGCGCAGGCGGAAGGCUAAGUCUGAUGUGAAAGCCCGGGGCUCAACCCCGGUACUGCAUUGGAAACUGGUCAUCUAGAGUGUCGGAGGGGUAAGUGGAAUUCCUAGUGUAGCGGUGAAAUGCGUAGAUAUUAGGAGGAACACCAGUGGCGAAGGCGGCUUACUGGACGAUAACUGACGCUGAGGCUCGAAAGCGUGGGGAGCAAACAGGAUUAGAUACCCUGGUAGUCCACGCCGUAAACGAUGGUCACUAAGUGUCGGGGGUCAAACCCCGGUGCUGCAGUCAACGCAAUAAGUGACCCGCCUGAGUAGUACGUUCGCAAGAAUGAAACUCAAAGGAAUUGACGGGGGCCCGCACAAGCGGUGGAGCAUGUGGUUUAAUUCGAAGCAACGCGAAGAACCUUACCAGGUCUUGACAUCGAUCUAAAAGGGAUGGAGACAUCCUCAUAGCUAUAGAGAAGACAGGUGGUGCAUGGUUGUCGUCAGCUCGUGUCGUGAGAUGUUGGGUUAAGUCCCGCAACGAGCGCAACCCUUAUCCCCAGUAGCCAGCAUUUCGGAUGGGCACUCUGAGGAGACUGCCAGGGAUAACCUGGAGGAAGGUGGGGAUGACGUCAAAUCAUCAUGCCCCUUAUGACUUGGGCUACACACGUGCUACAAUGGCGUAAACAAAGGGAAGCAAGACCGUGAGGUGGAGCAAAUCCCAAAAAUAACGUCUCAGUUCGGACUGUAGUCUGCAACCCGACUACACGAAGCUGGAAUCGCUAGUAAUCGCAGAUCAGAAUGCUGCGGUGAAUACGUUCCCGGGUCUUGUACACACCGCCCGUCACACCAUGGGAGUUGGAAAUGCCCGAAGUCAGUGACCCAACCGCAAGGAGGGAGCUGCCGAAGGCAGGUUCGAUAACUGGGGUG
rnacentral:rRNA from 1 species